GUCCGGUAGGUGAAAGUUGCUGACCUUCUGUGGGUGUUCCCGAGUAGCGGCGGACCCCUGAAAUCUGCCGUGAAUCUGCCAGGACCACCUGGUAAGCCUAAAUACUUCCUGGUGACCGAUAGCGGACAAGUACCGUGAGGGAAUGGUGAAAAGUACCCCGGGAGGGGAGUGAAAUAGUACCUGAAACCGUUCGCCUACAAUCCGUCGGAGCCUUACGGGGUGACGGCGUGCCUUUUGAAGAAUGAGCCUGCGAGUUAGUGGCAUGUGGCGAGGUUAACCCGUGUGGGGGAGCCGUAGCGA
rnacentral:rRNA from 1 species